rnacentral:rRNA from 1 species
AUGGCGCCGGCGGUGGGGAUCAAGCGGACCGCCGCGGCGCAGGCCGUCACGGUGCAGGCGCCGCCGCCGCCGCCCGACGCGCGGCUGGUGCGCGAGGCCGUGCGGACCUCCACGAUCGCCGAGGCCGUCGCGCCCGCGGCCCUGGAGGCGCCCGCGCCCGCGCUCGAGGGCUUCCUCUGCCUCGAGGAGGUGGAGGGCCGGCGGUGGAAGUACGUGGUGGAUGCGGCCCCCGGGAAGGGCAAGGGGAAGGGCCGGGGCAGGGGCGGGUCCGCCGUCCCCCUGGGGGCCUCCGUCAGGGCCGUGCCGCUCCAGUCGCCGCUGCCGCCCGCCGAGGAAAUAAUGGCGUUUGUAAGAUCGUAUGUUGUGCCUGAAGGGUUUCCAGACAGUGUUACUCCUUCAUACGUCCCAUACAUGACCUGGAGAGCUCUCAAGCAUUUUUUUGGUGGAGCAAUGGGCGUGUUCACAACAAGAACCUUGCUGAGCUCCGUUGGAGUCUCUCAAAGCAAGGUUACCCCGGGUGCCAUUGCUAUCAAUUGGAUCCUCAAGGACGGUGCUGGACGUGUUGGAAAAAUGCUUUUUGCGCGACAAGGGAAGAAGUUUGACAAUGACCUAAAGCAGCUCCGCUUUUCUAGUGAUCUCUUGCUGGAGAUAGGCGCUGGGAUAGAGUUAGCUACUGCAGCCUUCCCUCAGUUUUUCUUGCCUAUGGCUUGCGUUGCAAAUGUUGUAAAGAAUGUCGCUGCUGUUACGUCGACCUCAACUCGCACCCCAAUCUACAAGGCAUAUGCAAGAGGAGAAAAUAUUGGAGAUGUGACUGCUAAAGGCGAAUCCGUCGGGAACAUUGCAGAUCUGCUGGGCACUGGUUUGAGCAUCUUUAUCACAAAGCGGAACCCAUCGUUGGUGACUUCAUUUGCCCUCCUGUCAUGUGGAUAUCUCCUGAGUUCAUAUCAUGAGGUGAGGUCUGUUGUGCUGAAUACCCUAAACAGGGCAAGGUUUACUGUUGCAGUGGAUUCCUUUAUUAAGACAGGGUAUGUUCCCUCGUUGAAGGAAGGAAACUCGCAGGAGACGAUAUUUAUUCAUCCUUGGCGGCAUGAGCCAGUUUCAAUAGGAUCACGAUUUGGAGAAGCAUUUCAAGAACCCGUUUCAUUUGUUGCCACAAGGCCUUUGUUUGAGGAUGAGCGAUACAUGGUUACAUAUAACCCAACGAAGGAUAAAGUAUAUGCGUUACUCAAGGACCACGCAAAGCCAGAUGACAUUCUCAAAGCUGCUUUCCAUGCCCAUGUGUUGCUGCAUUUCAUCAAUGUAUCACAUGAACGGAAGAGGAUGAGCUCCAAUCGAUCAGAUCACUACGGGAACCCGCACCCACGGAACAUGGAUUUCCUGGCACACAUCGCAGAAUCCUGCAAAAUUGUGUCAUCCUCUUACGGAACAUUCAGGAAGAAAGCUAAAGAACAGGGUUGGAUAAUGUCGGAGUCACUUCUUAACCCUGGGAAGGCUCGAUUAUGCGUCACGAGACCGCAGUGA